rnacentral:rRNA from 1 species
UACAGAGGGUGCAAGCGUUGUUCGGAAUUAUUGGGCGUAAAGCGCGUGUAGGCGGCUUUGCAAGUCGGGUGUGAAAGCCCUCAGCUCAACUGAGGAAGUGCGCCCGAAACUGCAGAGCUUGAGUGCCGGAGAGGAUGGCGGAAUUCCCCAAGUAGAGGUGAAAUUCGUAGAUAUUGGGAGGAACACCAGUGGCGAAGGCGGUCCCCUGGGCCGGAACUGACGCUGAGGCGCGAAAGCGUGGGUAGCAAACAGG